rnacentral:rRNA from 1 species
AACGAACGCUGGCGGCAGGCUUAACACAUGCAAGUCGAACGCCCCGCAAGGGGAGUGGCAGACGGGUGAGUAACGCGUGGGAAUCUACCCAGUUCUACGGAAUAACCCAGGGAAACUUGGACUAAUACCGUAUACGCCCUACGGGGGAAAGAUUUAUCGGAAUUGGAUGAGCCCGCGUUGGAUUAGCUAGUUGGUGGGGUAAUGGCCUACCAAGGCGACGAUCCAUAGCUGGACUGAGAGGAUGAUCAGCCACACUGGGACUGAGACACGGCCCAGACUCCUACGGGGGGCAGCAGUGGGGAAUAUUGGACAAUGGGCGCAAGCCUGAUCCAGCCAUGCCGCGUGAGUGAUGAAGGCCUUAGGGUUGUAAAGCUCUUUCAGUGGGGACGAUAAUGACGGUACCCACAGAAGAAGCCCCGGCUAACUUCGUGCCAGCCGCCGCCGUAAGAC